rnacentral:rRNA from 1 species
AUUGAACGCUGGCGGCAGGCCUAACACAUGCAAGUCGAACGGUAACAGGAAGAAGCUUGCUUCUUUGCUGACGAGAGGCGGACGGGUGAGUAAUGUCUGGGAAACUGCCUGAUGGAGGGGGAUAACUACUGGAAACGGUAGCUAAUACCGCAUAACGUCGCAAGACCAAAGAGGGGGACCUUCGGGCCUUUUGCCAUCGGAUGUGCCCAGAUGGGAUUAGCUAGUAGGUGGGGUAACGGCUCACCUAGGCGACGAUCCCUAGCUGGUCUGAGAGGAUGACCAGCCACACUGGAACUGAGACACGGUCCAGACUCCUACGGGAGGCAGCAGUGGGGAAUAUUGCACAAUGGGCGCAAGCCUGAUGCAGCCAUGCCGCGUGUAUGAAGAAGGCCUUCGGGUUGUAAAGUACUUUCAGCGGGGAGGAAGGGAGUAAAGUUAAUACCUUUGCUCAUUGACGUUACCCGCAGAAGAAGCACCGGCUAACUCCGUG